rnacentral:rRNA from 1 species
AGGACGAACGCUGGCGGCGUGCUUAACACAUGCAAGUCGAGCGGAAAGGCCUUUCGGGGUACUCGAGCGGCGAACGGGUGAGUAACACGUGAGUAAUCUGCCCAUCGCUUCAGGAUAGCCAUCGGAAACGGUGAUUAAUACUGGAUAUGACAUUCCUUCGCAUGUUGGGGUGUGGAAAGUUUUUUCGGCGGUGGAUGUGCUCGCGGCCUAUCAGCUUGUUGGUGGGGUAAUGGCCUACCAAGGCUUUGACGGGUAGCCGGCCUGAGAGGGUGACCGGCCACACUGGGACUGAGACACGGCCCAGACUCCUACGGGAGGCAGCAGUGGGGAAUAGUUGGACAAGUGGGCGGAAGCCUGAUCCAGCAACGCCGCGUGAGGAUGACGGCCUUCGGGUUGUAAACCUCUUCAGCACAGACGUAGUUUGUCUUUUUGGUGUAAGUGACGUAUGUAGUCAGAAGAAGGACCGCCGAACUCGUGCCGAGCACGCCGC